rnacentral:rRNA from 1 species
UACGUAGGGACCGAGCGUUGUCCGGAUUCAUUGGGCGUAAAGAGCUCGUAGGCGGCCACUCAAGUCGAAUGUGAAACCUCGAGGCUUAACCUCGAGCCUGCAUUCGAUACUGGGCGGCUAGAGUCUGGUAGGGGGAUCUGGAAUUCCUGGUGUAGCGGUGGAAUGCGCAGAUAUCAGGAGGAACACCGGUGGCGAAGGCGGCCACCUGGACGGAUACUGACGCUGAGGUGCGAAAGCGUGGGGAGCAAACAGG